rnacentral:sRNA from 1 species
CUUACUGCUUUGGAAUUAUUUUUUUUUGUUUCGGUUGAGACUUGUGAUUGCUGUAUUGAUAUUCUUAGAAUUAUUGACCUGUUUUUAUUAUCUAAAUGAGUACAUCGGUUAAAAAGUGUGGCCAUUUGUUAUAAGUAUCACAGUGAUUAUUCUUUAAGAAGGAUAAGUGAUUAAUGACAUAGUGUUGUAUAUUGUACUGAACUCUGAUACCAAUGCACUGUGCACUGACAUAAAUAUGAGACUAACUUAAAACUUUUCAUUUCAAAGUCUCUGGCGUAGUCCUCGUCACUGUGCUUAAUGAACGGGUUGUGAUGUGAUUGUUUACCUUGACAAAUAGCGUACACACAUACACCUACAUGCACAUAGACACACUGUCAAUGUGAACACAUCUGUUAAAUCAAGCCAGGAGGUCAUGUAAACAAUAUUGUGUUCGAACUUAUACACGGAUAUAGACGGGCAUCACUACUGUACUAUCUAUUCUGUUCUGGGUUUGUGGUUCGACAAAGCUUUCAAGACAUGGGCUGUCGUGAGAGUAAGACCAUCAGUGGAGAUGGCACCGACUUAAAACAGUUUCGCCAAGAGGCACUCGCAGCGCACAACAACAGACGUUCCAAGCAUGGAGCCCCGGCACUUAA